GCUGCCUUCAGCAGCUCCUGUACCAAAAUUGGAACAACACAGAGAUUAGCAUGGUCCCUGUGGACAGAUGAUGGGAAAAUUUAUGAAGCAGUCCAUAUUUUU